rnacentral:tRNA from 1 species
GGGGAUUUAGCUUAGUGGCAUAAGCACCUGCCUGGCAAGCACUAGGUUGUGAGUUUAGUCCCCA